AUGUUCAGAAAAUACUUUGAAAUGUAUUGGAAAAUAAUUAACAUUAUCUUGAGACUUUUCCACUGCGAAGCAUCUUACUCUAAGAAACCAGAUGCUCUUGACAGUUCUUAUACCUCUCCCUUCACCCAGGGCGCCCGGCAGGACCAGGCCGCGCAGCCAGGUUCCGAUGCAGGCCUUAGUAGAAGGAGGUUGCUUACGGCUUUGCUGCAGGCUCAGACAUGGCCUUUUCAACCCUCCAGAGACAUGAGGCUGGUGCAAUUCCAGGCACCCCACCUGGCGGGGCCUUACCUGGGCCUGGAGACAGGGAAUGGUGGAGGGGUUAUUGACCUCAAUGCUUUUGACCCCACGCUCCCCAAGACAAUGUUGCAGUUCCUCGAGCAGGGAGAGGCCACCCUCUCAGUGGCAAGAAGAGCCCUGGCUGCUCAGCUGCCAGUCCUACCACAAUCAGAGGUGACCUUCCUGGCACCAGUCACACGUCCAGGCAAGAUGGUGUGUGUGGGCAUGAAUUAUGUGGACCACUGCAAAGAACAGAACGUGCCAGUGCCCAGGGAGCCCAUCAUCUUCAGCGAGUUCGCCAUCUCCACUGUGGGACCCUAUGAUGAGAUUGUCCUCCCACCCAAGAGCCAGGUUGGUGCCUCGUCACUGCCCUCCAGAGUCACUAAGGCCCAUCACAAGGGCACUUGGAGCUCAGUAUUCAGCCUCUGGGAGCCACCUCUCGCUCACUAG